GGGGGCGUAGCUCAGUUGGGAGAGCAUCUGGUUUGCAUCCAGAGGGUCAGGGGUUCGAGUCCCCUCGUCUCCACCC
rnacentral:tRNA from 1 species